GACGGAGUUUCACUCUUGUUGCCCAGACUGGAGUGCAAUGGUAUGAUCUCAGCUCACCGCAACCUCUGCCUCACAAGUUCAAGCGAUUCUCUUGCCUCAGCUUCCUGAGUAGCUGGGAUUACAGGCAUGCGUCACCACGUCCAGCUAAUUUUGUAUUUUUAGUAGAGAAGGUGUUUCUCCAUGUUGGCCAGGCUGGUCUCAAACUCCUGACUUCAGGUGAUCCACUGGCCUCAGCUUCCCGAAGUGCUGGGAUUACAGGCAUGAGCUACUGCACCUGGCAGACCUAUACGUUUAUACAACUGGCUGUGCAGUAGAUUACACCAGCAUUGCUACAAACAUCUCCUGGGAAGCUCUAGGAUGUGACUUUAAGCUGGAAAGACUCUCAGGAGCUAGGUUUGAUAUGGCACAAUCUCAAGGCAUCGCUAAGUCUGAAGUUCUUCCAGCAGGUCUGUAAACCACAAAGGACAAGCAGCUCAGAGAUUAGCGAAUGCGUCUCAGCUGUCCUAGAAAAGUGCUGUCAGCAAGUCUGAAGAGUUUCCCAGAAGCCCUGAAAGGACGCAAUAGCAUCAUUUAGCAGAAAGAAACAGCCCUGGAUUAAUGUUCUUUUGGGAUUCAUCUUCUGGCUUUGUGAUUUUGGGCAAGUUACUUAUCUUCCUCCAUUUAUUCACAUAUAUAAUGAGAGGAGUAGUACCUACCUUACAAACUUUUCUGUGAG
rnacentral:lncRNA from 1 species